GAGGGAGAGCCUCCUGUCCGCCCAGACUGGCGCCUCUGUUCGGGUUUACCGUGUGGUCAAGCCUUGAAGAAGAGGUCUCAGUCGAGACUCAGAAGGGUAGGGGAAAGUUAUUUUUCCUCUCCUACAGCGGGGACGGCUUCGCGGACCUAGAGGCUUCUCCCCCUCCCACCAGUCACUGGUCGGCUAUUGCACGUGAAUGCGCUUUGCGGGCUAUAUCCUGGUCUGGCGUCUCAGCCCAGAAUUUGAGAGCAUUAGGGAUUGAGGAUUAUCAAAGAAAAGGGGGGAUUGGAACCUAGCAGGACCCUGCAGAGAUCUCCCAGAUGGGGAAACCGAGGCACAGAGAAGCAAAGUGAUCUUCCCAGAGCCACACAGCCAGUGGGUGGUAGGGCCAGGCUCCAAACCCAGGUCUUUCUGAGCCCCGAGCCCACUGCACCAUCUUGCCUGAUUCAAUAAAUGAGUGCUAUCACAUAACAAGCACAAACAGAUCCUCCCUGCCUCACAGAGAUGUUCCAAGGGAAAACAUGUCUUCUGAGUUUCCUUGUUGAUUAGUCCCUUUCAACAUCCUGCCUUUC